UACGUAGGGUGCGAGCGUUAAUCGGAAUUACUGGGCGUAAAAGCGUGCGCAGGCGGCGCGUUAAGACAGGUGUGAAAAGCCCCCGAGCUUAACUUGGGAAUUGCGCUUGUGACUGGCGUGCUGGAGUGUGGCAGAGGGAGGUGGAAUUCCACGUGUAGCAGUGAAAUGCGUAGAGAUGUGGAGGAACACCGAUGGCGAAGGCAGCCUCCUGGGCCAGCACUGACGCUCAUGCACGAAAGCGUGGGGAGCAAACAGG
rnacentral:rRNA from 1 species